CCUGGGUGUAGGCUGAUCUAACUUUGGGAGAAACUUAGUUUACAAUUUACAACAAAGAUGAUAACAGCCCUCUCCCAAAACAAAUCCCCUUCUUUCCUGGGAACUAGACUGCCUUUGUAGGACUAACGAAUUAGCCAAAAGAUUAGAAAUUAUAGUUUAGGAGUCAUACAGCUGGAGGCUACAAGAUUCUGAAUCUCCUCAAAUUUCUCUUGGGGAUAACAUGACUCUUACAAAGCCUAAGAUCAGUGUUUGAGAUAUUUUGCAGACUCUGCACUCGAUGGAUCAGCUGGCACCACUCAGAUCGAUAAACUGGCUCAUCUGAACUUGUAGCCCUCACCCAGGAACCGACUCAGUGCAAGACAGCUUCGACUCCCUGUGAUUUCAUCUCCGACCAAAUCAGUCAGCAUCCACAAAUCAUUGGCUGCCACCCACUCACCAAAUUAUCCUUAAAACAUCUGAUCCUCAAAUGCUCGGGGAGACUGAUCUGAGUAAUAACAAAACUCAGUUCUCCCUCACAGCCAGCUCUGUGUGAAUUACUUUCUUUAUCACAAUUCCCCUGUCUUGAUAAAUCAGCUCUGUCUAGGGAGUGGGCAAGGUGAACCCACUGGGCAGUUACUCAACCACAUACCAAGUGCCAGAGGCUGGACCUGGACCUGUGAUACUAUGCUCUAAUAAGAUACUGCUUUGGGGGCUACCACUGGGCUCAGUUCAUCAUCACCCAUCUUGAUCCAUCUGAUUUUUUUCAGGGGUGAUAGCAGUAAACUGAAUGGGAAUAUGAUAGGAACCACCACUCCUGCAUUCUUUAAAUAUUGAAAAAUGGUAUUAAUUUCUGCAAUUCCACCCAGGAUAUAAUAUUGCUCUGAUUUAUUGUCUUGGCUUGGAGAAACAAUCUCGGGGAUGAUAGGAUUUUAGAAUAGCAGAAGCCAACUAGUUGCUUUAACCAAUUGGCUCUUCCUACCAUAAGGGUUCUUACUCACAGGUCAGUGAAACAAUAUGAGCAUUCUUCCAAUUGCAAAGAAUAUCAAUCCCAGUUAUGCCCAAGAGGACUGGGGAAAUGAUCACAGGUUGGGUCUCUGGACCCAUUGUACAUAUUGUAACAUAGAUCUAGGCUAAGACUCCACAUGUCUCCUCUGUAAUCAUGGAGCCAAGAAAGCAUUUUCAGAUCCCCUGAUAUCAGCAUCAGUUCAGAUCCUAUGUCCAAAAGCUCUCAAAAGUCUUCCUCUUUCUAUAGCAUACAAUUACUCUGUUAAACAGCUACAGUUUCCUUUGAGUUAGGAUUGAUAUAUUGUAUAUGCUUGCAGUGACAUUGAGGGGUCUUUCAUUAGGCAGACACAGCCUCUCCAAUUGGUGGUCUCUGAUCAAAAGAAUUAACUAAGCUGGAAACUGGACCAGAGAUUGCAGGUUUCCACUAUGGUAGCUGAUAUCAGUUUUCUUCACAGCAACUCUUGAUUUUUUUUUUUCUGAUUGUAUAAGCCAAGCAAUGUGCUAGCUCACUCUUUAUCUCAUUUGCCCCAAGGAAAAUAUAGUCUAUUAGACACUGCCACAGAUAUGUGCAGGACUCAGUGCCCCAGAUGCAACUCUGGUCUUUCUACCUGGCAUGAUAAUUACAUCCACCAUGAUACUGAUGGUUAAAUGUUACUACCCUGACCUCUGCUAUUCUGGAAUUCCAUCAUCACAAUUGACACUAUAGAACCCAGUUCCAUACAGAACGGAGCCUUAGGCAUCCAGCCGUUGGGGUGUGCCACUCAGAUCUCCUUUAAAGGAAGAAAUUGCCAUGAGGAAUGUAGUUAUCUGACAGCCUCCAGCUGCCUCAACUUUGAGGUCUUUCGCAGCAUUCACUCAAAGGCCACAUAGUCCUGGUCAAAGACUAAACAUGGCAAAGUUUCUAGAGCUGGUCCAUUCUUGCUCAUCAUAGGAUUCCUCUAAUGGGAAAUCUUUCCCCAAGGGUUCCGCAUUAGCCUAACCAAGACUUUCUCUGAGACUCUUAGUUAUUAUGAUGCUACUUCCACCAGCACCAGGGUUCUUGUUGCUAUCUGGCUGUUGAGUGAUUCAGUCCCACUGAGCAAUGUCAACCUGAUUGUCUUUCUUUGUUUUUAAGAAACAGGGUCUUGCUCUGCUGCCCAGGCUGGAGCACAGUAGUGUGAUCAUAGCUCACUACAGCCUUCAACUCCUGGGCCUUAGCAAUCCUCCUGCCUCAGCCUCCCAAGGAGCUAUGGCUGCAGGUAUCCGCCACCACUCAUUGACAGCCACUUCCAGUACUCACUGUCUUGGACACAGACUUGAGUAAAAGUACAGAAACAGGGCCGGUAGGACCAGAGGCUCCCCCUCCUGGGUCAGAUUAUGCAGUAAGGAGCUUCACAGAAUACGACUGGAAAUCCACAUACCCACUUUUCUGUUUAAUUCAGGAAGCAGUUGCUAAACACAACUAACAGAGCAAAGGGCAAGAGGCCUGGAUGAAGAAAUACCCUCAGAAACUCCCACUCUUCUGGUUCCUGCUGAAGACUCCAGUAAUAAAAGUUAUUCAUACCUACCUCCACCAUCUUGGCUGGGAAGUCAAGGAAGAAGAUAGCAGCCCGCAACCCGGAAGAGGGCCCUCACCAGAACCUACCAUGCUGGCACCCAGACCUCAGACUUCCAGCCUCCAGAAAUACACCAUCUGGCUCUGUCACCCAGGCUGGAGUGCAGUGGCCUGGUCACAGUUCACUGCAGCUUCGACUUCCCUGGCUCAAGUGAUCCUCCCUCCUCACCCUACAGGCAUGCACCACCGUGCCCAGGAGCUCCCUCUGCUGCAGGAACUCAACGAUAGGGAGGAAGAGUCCAGAAAAGUAGGGCUGUCAGCACCUCUGUGAGCAGCCGACGAUCCACAGCGGAUGGAGUUUGGUGGUAAAGGUACUCACUUCCUGUCUCUCUGGUGAUGAUUUUGAGCAUGUUCUACAAAGUCUUUCAGAUGGUCCCAGUAGGUUGGAGCCCAGCUGCCCUCAGUGGUAACCUGCCCAUUAACGUAUCCUGUGUUGGUUUCCUUUCCUCCCCUACCUCACCUCCCCACUCCCCUUUCUAUGAUUCCUAGAGUCACCUCCCAAAUAAACUUUCACAUUUACAUUAUUGUCUCAUGGUCUCUUCUGAGGGAACUCAAACUAAAACAAAAUGCUUAUUGAAUUAAAUCCUCAGUUGCAGAUGAGAGGUUCAGGGACCAUGCCAGAUGCUGAAGGCACCAAGAUGGAUAGUGAUGAGCCUUCUCAUUCAGCCCUUACUCAGCACUGCCUCUGGCUACCAAGCACUGUGCUCCUAUCAUGUACCAGCCCCUGGGACUCUCCGUUUACAUGCAUCUUGGCUAACCCUUUCCACCACCCUGCCCAGUAGCUAUCAUUAUGCUCAAAUUGCAAACGGGGAAAUUGAUGCUCAGAGGGUUUUCCAAAGUCACACAGUCAUAGAAAUGCCAUCUUUGGUUAGGGAGCAGUGCCUCACACCUGAAGUUUCAGCACUUUGGGAGGCC
rnacentral:lncRNA from 1 species